CGGAGGGUCAUUACUGAGUUAUCCAAAAACUCCCAACCCUAUGUGAACUUACCACUGUUGCCUCGGCGAGCUGCGCUACCCUGUAGCUACUUUUGUAGCGACCUGGGAGCGCGUUAUAGGCUCGCCAGAGGACCACUAAACUCUGUUUUAUUUUGUAUCUCUGAAUCUUAUAACUGAAAUCAGUUAAAACUUUCAACAACGGAUCUCUUGGUUCUGGCAUCGAUGAAGAACGCAGCGAAAUGCGAUAAGUAAUGUGAAUUGCAGAAUUCAGUGAAUCAUCGAAUCUUUGAACGCACAUUGCGCCCAUUAGUAUUCUAGUGGGCAUGCCUAUUCGAGCGUCAUUUCAACCCUUAAGCCUCAGUAGCUUAGCGUUGGGAAUCUACAGGUUACAGCGUAGUUCCUUAAAGGUAGUGGCGGAGUUAGAGCACACUCUAAGCGUAGUACUUGUUUCUCGCUUCUGGUAGUGGCUUUGGCGGCCGGCCGUGAAACCCCCUAUAUUUCUAAUGGUUGACCUCGGAUUAGGUAGGAAUACCCGCUGAACUUAAGCAUAUCAAUAAGCGGAGGAAAAGAAACCAACAGGGAUUGCCCUAGUAACGGCGAGUGAAGCGGCAACAGCUCAAAUUUGAAAUCUGGCCUUCGGGUCCGAGUUGUAAUUUGUAGAGGAUGCUUUGGGUGCGGUGCCUUCCGAGUUCCCUGGAACGGGACGCCUUAGAGGGUGAGAGCCCCGUACGGUUGGA
rnacentral:rRNA from 1 species